rnacentral:misc_RNA from 1 species
GUUUUUGGUUGUACAUUAUGCACAAUGAACAUUCCAUUACAUUCAUGAGUGUGUAAAAGUACUCGAGUCACCAGGCCUUGGAAAGGCCAUGCAAAACAGCAACUCAGAGUCAUAAGAUGCACAAGGGGUAUGGAUUUGCAACUUGUCCCAUCAUGCACAUGUGUCUCCACCAGCAACAGAUGGGAACAAGUCGACUUUGAAGUUUCACUAAUGAUCCUUCCGCAGGUUCACCUACGGAAA